rfam:Ictidomys tridecemlineatus contig006620, whole genome shotgun sequence.
UGGGUUGUGGCUCAGUGGUAGAGCACUAACCUAGCACAUGUGAGGCACUGGGUUCGAUCCUCAGCACCACAU